rnacentral:tRNA from 1 species
GAGAGAGGCCAAAAGCAAUAAGGACUGCUAACCCCUAU